AUGGCAUUCGACAGGCUGAAGAUCUUUUGUGCCAACAUAGUGAAGAAGCUCGCGCCGCCACUGCUGAAAGAGGUUCAGGCGUCGACGCUCCGACCCGAUGCUGAACCAUUCACCCCGAAGCACACGACUCGCGCAACAAAGCGCAUCGGUACAGCUAGCACUGGUCCGGCCAAGCCUAAACCUGUAGAAAAUGUGCUCCUAAAGACGCUGGGUCUAGUCCCCGAGGAUAUGGUGCCGGAUGAGGUGGCAGUUCAAGAGCUCAGGAUGUUGUUCGACUCCCCGCUCAGAGAGCAGCACGUUCGGGUGAUUGCUGCGCUGUUUGGCAAGACCUUGCCGUCGGCUGCAGAGCUGGAAGGUAGAGAGGGCAGAGCAAUCGCUGCGGUCUAG
rnacentral:rRNA from 1 species